rnacentral:rRNA from 1 species
UACGUAGGGUGCGAGCGUUAAUCGGAAUUACUGGGCGUAAAGCGUGCGCAGGCGGUUCGUUAAGUUCGUUGUGAAAGCCCCGGGCUCAACCUGGGAACUGCAAUGGAAACUGGCGGGCUUGAAUGCGGCAGAGGGGGGUGGAAUUCCGCGUGUAGCAGUGAAAUGCGUAGAGAUGCGGAGGAACACCGAUGGCGAAGGCAGCCCCCUGGGCCGACAUUGACGCUCAGGCACGAAAGCGUGGGGAGCGAACAGG